rnacentral:tRNA from 7 species
UUCAGCGUGGCGGAAUUGGUAGACGCACCGCACUGUUGAUGCGACGCCGGAAGGCUUGUAGGUUCGACUCCUACCGCUGGAGCCA